UGAAGUAACGUACUACGGGCUCCACAGUCCAGGCUCCAUGUUUUACCUGUGAGGCGCGUGUCAUCAUCCCCAUUUUACAGAUGAGAAAGCGGACGCUUAACGAGUGUCUUCCAGCAGCCUGGUGUUAUACCAGAGCACCGAAUCCACCAAUGGCCACAGCCACCUGCUGCCACCCAACCACAGUGUCAUCGAGACCUUCAUCUCCACGCAGAUGGCCUCUUCCUCCCAGUAACCAAGGCUACCGCCUCCCAGGGGCUGGGACCUGAUGCCUGCACGGCCCGCUUGGGGGGUGACCAGAACAUCUGAACCUGCAAAACCCUUUGCUGCCACGGAGCUGCUGUCCUUCUCUGGAAAACUGUACCUCAGUCCCCACCUUGCUCUGCCAGUGUCAGAGAGGGAGGGUGCUGAGGUGCCCCAACCCGAGGCGGGCUGCUUUGGUGCACAAAGGCGGACUGUGGAGAGCUGGGAAGCACAGCCUGUUCCUGGCAGGACUCAGGAGGGACUGUCCCUGCUGCUCAGGGUAAAUCCUGUCACUUGGAACAGAAGGGGACAGGCUUUGGAUGCUGGUACCCCCGGCCUGGGCCUAUGGAGAGCCCCAGCACCCUAAAGGGAACUCUGGCAGCCACACGUCUCAGGCCACUAGCCUGUGUAGCUGAGUCACUGAGCAACGAGAGAGGCCCUGGAUCAAUGUGGCCCCAUUCUGUCACCUAUGCCCUGUCCAGGCCACUCCAUCCUGCCCCCUUCCUAUUGACCCACAUGCCCAUUUGUACCCACCUGUCCCCCACGCACAUAAGCAUUCCAUGAGGGGCUCCUCUGUCCCAGGGCCUGGGGCACAGAUGCCCAAGCCCUGGGGGAGCUCAAGCUAACAGCGAAGGCAUCCGGGCUCUCCAGCUUCCCACAUCCUGAGCCAUCCCUCUCUCCAGACCCCGUGACCUCCAGUUUUCUGGGACAUUCGUUCCCCAGAGCAUCAUGCCUUCCGAUGCCAGCCUGGCACCUUGCCUCUACCGAAAAGCCCCCCUCAAGGCUAGUUAGUAAGUUGUCCUUGUUCCUGGAAGGAGCCUUGCAACUCUGCACUUGGUGCUAAGUCCUGGGAUUGCAGCUCCUCUGGCCUCUGGGGCCCUGUAGACCCUUCCCUGGUUUUGGGGAGAAGCUGCUGAGCUCAGAAGGCAGCAAGGUCUGAGCAGUAGGCAGAGCGGAGGUGCCCAAAGGGAGAAGAGGAAGGCG